UAAUAACAUCAGGAGCAGUUUCUUUAUUGAAACUCGCCAACCGAGUCAGUAAGACAGCGGUGGUUUGAUCCAUAAAUGGUAGAUGUGCCCAAAAGGGAAACAUAUAAAGCCACCU
rnacentral:ncRNA from 1 species